rnacentral:lncRNA from 1 species
GGAGAUCAAGCAAAUCACUACACAACCUGCAAACCAAGAAGUGAGAAUGAGAUUUGGAUGACUUUGUAACGGAUCAGUCAAAUGACUUGCACAGUUUUCGGCUCUUCAUAAAAGCACAAAUCAGAGAUCACAUUCUUGUCGAAACGAUCCGUUUUCGCCUUAUGGGAUAUUCAUGGAAUACGCCCUUGAAAAAGGAUAUGCCAUUAUUAAUUCUUAUUCCAAAAUUUCCACUUUCACAAUCACAUGAUUCUACAUUUUUGAUUGUCAAGGAAAACAAAAAUCGUUCUAGUACUCGCUACACAUGAAACCAUGAUUAUGUUACAUGUGGGCAUGUGUGAAUGUAUGCAUAUGAAAGUUCAAAUGCUUCGUUAGUAAAAACAUACCUUUGAAGUUUGAACCUGGGUGGGUUUAAAUAUCCCUCCCCUUGAAUGGCUUCAUCAUGAAGCAACAUAAUGAUAGACAUGAGAAACAGCAUCAUCAAAAGGCAACACUUCGAAAAAAAGAAAAUGGGGAUGGAUAUCCAUGGAAUAACCCAUCAAAGCAUCUCUUCUAUUCUCUCAAUCACUCAAAU